GAUGAACGCUGGCGGCGUGCCUAAUACAUGCAAGUCGAGCGAACGGACGAGAAGCUUGCUUCUCUGAUGUUAGCGGCGGACGGGUGAGUAACACGUGGAUAACCUACCUAUAAGACUGGGAUAACUUCGGGAAGCCGUAGCUAAUACCGGAUAAUAUUUUGAACCGCAUGGUUCAAAAGUGAAAGACGGUCUUGCUGUCACUUAUAGAUGGAUCCGCGCUGCAUUAGCUAGUUGGUAAGGUAACGGCUUACCAAGGCAACGAUGCAUAGCCGACCUGAGAGGGUGAUCGGCCACACUGGAACUGAGCCACGGUCCAGACUCCUACGGGAGGCAGCAGUAGGGAAUCUUCCGCAAUGGGCGAAAGCCUGACGGAGCAACGCCGCGUGAGUGAUGAAGGUCUUCGGAUCGUAAAACUCUGUUAUUAGGGAAGAACAUAUGUGUAAGUAACUGUGCACAUCUUGACGGUACCUAAUCAGAAAGCCACGGCUAACUACGUG
rnacentral:rRNA from 1 species